GGCUUUGUUAUAUUGUUGCUGUGCUUUUGGAUCCGGAUUUUACGUUUAUUGAUUUUAUUUCGGAUUUGUUGGCUGAUAUUGUUUUGGAUUGUUGAACGGAUCCAGUGGAUUUGAAAACUUGUUAAUUAAACCGGUUCGAUGGACUGGCUUUCUGAACUGUUUUUCUGAACUAGUUUCUGAAUUGGUUUUGUUUGAACUAUUUCAGCUUGUUGGACUUUUUGUUGGAAUUGUGUUUUUUCAUAGGAUGAUUGGAGUUAAGGUCCCAUUUGGGGCAAACCGUCCUCCUGAGAAAAAUCACUUCUCAAACCGGCUUUUCAAAUAAGCUCUUUUCUGUAUAAUCUCUUUUUGGCCAAGCAAUCUCAAAAUGCAGUUUUCCUCU
rnacentral:lncRNA from 1 species